CCUACGGGAGACAGCAGUAGGGAAUAUUGCUCAAUGGGGGAAACCCUGCAGCAGCAACGCCGCGUGGAGGAUGAAGGUUUUCGGAUUGUAAACUCCUUUUGUUAGAGAAGAUAAUGACGGUAUCUAACGAAUAAGCACCGGCUAACUCCGUGCCAGCAGCCGCGGUAAUACGGAGGGUGCAAGCGUUACUCGGAAUCACUGGGCGUAAAGGGCGCGUAGGCGGGAUAGCAAGUCAGAUGUGAAAUCCUAUGGCUUAACCAUAGAACUGCAUUUGAAACUGUUAUUCUAGAGUAUGGGAGAGGUAGGUGGAAUUCUUGGUGUAGGGGUAAAAUCCGUAGAGAUCAAGAGGAAUACUCAUUGCGAAGGCGACCUGCUAGAACAUAACUGACGCUGAUGCGCGAAAGCGUGGGGAGCAAACAGGAUUAGAUACCCCUGUAGUC
rnacentral:rRNA from 1 species